UCAUUAUGCCGCGUGAGUGAAGAAGGCCUUCGGGUUGUAAAGCUCUUUUGUCAGGAAAGAAACACCGGCUCUAACACAGUCCGGGAAUGACGGUACCUGAAGAAUAAGCACCGGCUAACUACGUGCCAGCAGCCGCGGUAAUACGUAGGGUGCGAGCGUUAAUCGGAAUUACUGGGCGUAAAGCGUGCGCAGGCGGUUAUACAAGACAGGCGUGAAAUCCCCGGGCUUAACCUGGGAAUGGCGCCUGUGACUGUAUAGCUAGAGUGUGUCAGAGGGGGGUAGAAUUCCACGUGUAGCAGUGAAAUGCGUAGAUAUGUGGAGGAAUACCAAUGGCGAAGGCAGCCCCCUGGGAUAACACUGACGCUCAUGCACGAAAGCGUGGGGAGCAAACAGGAUUAGAUACCCUGGUAGUCCACGCCCUAACCGAUGCUGACUAGUUGUACGGGAUUUACAUCCUGAGUAACGUAGCUAACGCGUGAAGUCAGCCGCCUGGGGAGUACGGUCGCAAGAUUAAAACUCAAAGGAAUUGACGGGGACCCGCACAAGCGGUGGAUGAUGUGGAUUAAUUCGAUGCAACGCGAAAAAGCUUACCUACCCUUGACAUGUCCCUAACGAAGUAGAGAUACAUUCGGUGCUCGUAAGAGAAAGU
rnacentral:rRNA from 1 species